rnacentral:rRNA from 1 species
ACGAAGGGUGCAAGCGUUAAUCGGAAUUACUGGGCGUAAAGCGUGCGUAGGCGGUUGGCUAAGUCAGAUGUGAAAGCCCUGGGCUCAACCUGGGAAUGGCAUUUGAAACUGGCCGGCUAGAGUGUGAUAGAGGAUGGCGGAAUUCCCGGUGUAGCGGUGAAAUGCGUAGAGAUCGGGAGGAACAUCCGUGGCGAAGGCGGCCAUCUGGAUCAACACUGACGCUGAGGCACGAAAGCGUGGGGAGCAAACAGGA